UCCGUAGGCGGGCAAUUAAGUCAGAGGUGAAAUCCCACAGCUCAACUGUAGAACUGCCUUUGAUACUGGUUGUCUUGAGUUACAGUGAAGUAGAUAGAAUAUGUAGUGUAGCGGUGAAAUGCAUAGAUAUUACAUAGAAUACCGAUUGCGAAGGCAGUCUACUAACUGUAUACUGACGCUAAUGGACGAAAGCGUGGGGAGCGAACAGGAUUAGAUACCCUGGUAGUCC
rnacentral:rRNA from 1 species